CAUAAGUGGUCAGAGCACUUGGUUACAAGAAACUUGGGCUUUCUCUGUACUGAGCUGCAUGAUUUCUGUUUCCCUUCCUCUGAAGCUGUGCCUCCAUUUUAAAGAAUUAUCUCUUCCAUCUGGACUUCUGUUCCCUGAGAUACUCACCAGGGGCUGUCAGCACUGUGAUGGGAAUGCUGGGGAGGCAGUGGAGAAGCUGAAGAGGUGAAGCAAUUUAGGACUCAAUCCAAAGUUUAUCCAAGCCAUCAGGAAGCUUCGUGUUGGUUGUGCAGCCUUCGGCAAAGGCACGGCUCCCCUCGCUGCAACCACAUCUGAGCCACUGCAACAGGCAUUACUUAAUAGCGCUGAGAAGAGAAACAGAAGAAAAUUUCUUUGAAGAUUUACCUGGGCCUGAAAGGGCAGGAGGGGAGAAGACGAAGUGGAAAUAUGGGCAAAUGGAGGAGAACCAUUUGCCACCAUCCAAACAGGUCCUUUUCAACCACUUUUCUGUUGUGUACCUGCUUGUAGCCAGAGCCACUUGGUGCAAGCAGAGGUUAGAGACCUUUGGGGCUAACGCUGAAGGUAAGUUUUAAUUGAAGCUGAAAGACCUUUAGUUGCAUUAAAAUUUAUCCCUGCAAAGGACAGUG
rnacentral:lncRNA from 1 species